AUAAUGAUACUUCUUUCGUGAAAGCCGGCUCGUCGAGAACAGAGGCGGAGGUGAAAUUCCUAUGU
rfam:Johnsonella ignava ATCC 51276 genomic scaffold supercont1.11, whole genome shotgun sequence.